UACAUAGGGGGCGAGCGUUAUCCGGAAUUAUUGGGCGUAAAGCGUGCGUAGGCGGUUUGUUAAGUUCGAUGUAAAAUCCCACAGCUUAACUGUGGAGGGUCAUUGGAAACUGGCAAGCUAGAGUACGGUAGAGGUAAGUGGAAUUCCAAGUGGAGCGGUGGAAUGCGUAGAUAUUUGGAGGAACACCAGUGGCGAAGGCGGCUUACUGGGCCGGAACUGACGCUGAGGCACGAAAGCGUGGGGAGCAAACAGGAUUAGAUACCCUGGUAGUCCACGCCGUAAACGAUGAGCACUAAGUGUCGGGCGAAUGCUCGGCGCUGCAGUUAACACAAUAAGUGCUCCGCCUGGGGAGUACGGUCGCAAGACUGAA
rnacentral:rRNA from 1 species